rnacentral:rRNA from 1 species
UACGUAGGGUGCGAGCGUUGUCCGGAAUUAUUGGGCGUAAAGAGCUUGUAGGCGGUCUGUCGCGUCUGCUGUGAAAAUCCGGGGCUCAACCCCGGACUUGCAGUGGGUACGGGCAGACUAGAGUGUGGUAGGGGAGACUGGAAUUCCUGGUGUAGCGGUGAAAUGCGCAGAUAUCAGGAGGAACACCGGUGGCGAAGGCGGCAUCCUGGACCAACACUGACACUGAUGGGCGAAAGCCAGGGGAGCAAACGGG